rnacentral:tRNA from 1 species
GGCGGACUGGCGUAAUGGUUAACGCGCCAGUUUCCGGUGUUUGCACAGGGACCACAAGUGGUAGCUGGAGAUUUCUGGGUUCGAGUCCCAGGUUCGUCG